rfam:Bacteroidetes bacterium OLB11 TZ11_BCD004CONTIG000066, whole genome shotgun sequence.
UUUGCAUCGGCAAGUCUUAUACGACCAGCUCCUUCUAAUCCUCCAGGGUGGGAACACAGCAAAGGUACGAAGUUGUAGCGGUGCGAUAUAAGUAACUUGCCUUUUU